UACGUAGGGUGCGAGCGUUAAUCGGAAUUACUGGGCGUAAAGCGUGCGCAGGCGGUUUUGUAAGCCAGAUGUGAAAUCCCCGGGCUUAACCUGGGAAUGGCAUUUGGGACUGCAAGGCUUGAGUGCGGCAGAGGAGACUGGAAUUCCUGGUGUAGCAGUGAAAUGCGUAGAUAUCAGGAGGAACACCGAUGGCGAAGGCAGGUCUCUGGGC
rnacentral:rRNA from 1 species